UACGUAGGGGGCAAGCGUUGUCCGGAAUCAUUGGGCGUAAAGAGCGUGUAGGCGGCCAGGUAGGUCGGUUGUGAAAACUGGAGGCUUAACCUUCAGACGUCGACCGAAACCAUCUGGCUAGAGUCCGGAAGAGGAGAGUGGAAUUCCUGGUGUAGCGGUGAAAUGCGCAGAUAUCAGGAAGAACACCUAUGGCGAAGGCAGCUCUCUGGGACGGUACUGACGCUGAGACGCGAAAAGCGUGGGGGAGCGAACAGG
rnacentral:rRNA from 1 species